GGUGCCUUCGGGAACUGUGAGACAGGUGCUGCAUGGCUGUCGUCAGCUCGUGUUGUGAAAUGUUGGGUUAAGUCCCGCAACGAGCGCAACCCUUAUCCUUUGUUGCCAGCGGUCCGGCCGGGAACUCAAAGGAGACUGCCAGUGAUAAACUGGAGGAAGGUGGGGAUGACGUCAAGUCAUCAUGGCCCUUACGACCAGGGCUACACACGUGCUACAAUGGCGCAUACAAAGAGAAGCGACCUCGCGAGAGCAAGCGGACCUCAUAAAGUGCGUCGUAGUCCGGAUUGGAGUCUGCAACUCGACUCCAUGAAGUCGGAAUCGCUAGUAAUCGUGGAUCAGAAUGCCACGGUGAAUACGUUCCCGGGCCUUGUACACACCGCCCGUCACACCAUGGGAGUGGGUUGCAAAAGAAGUAGGUAGCUUAACCUUCGGGAGGGCGCUUACCACUUUGUGAUUCAUGACUGGGGUGAAGUCGUAACAAGGUAACCGUAGGGGAACCUGCGGUUGGAUCACCUCCUUA
rnacentral:rRNA from 1 species